rnacentral:rRNA from 3 species
AACUUUUAGCAACGGAUCUCUUGGCUCUCGCAUCGAUGAAGAACGCAGCGAAAUGCGAUAAGUAAUGUGAAUUGCAGAAUUCAGUGAAUCAUCGAAUCUUUGAACGCACCUUGCGCUCCUUGGUAUUCCGAGGAGCAUGCCUGUUUGAGUGUCAUUA